CUCCUGAGAGUGACCACUGUGUGCAAUAGUCUUCUAAUCGCUGCUGGUAGUGUCUGUUGCAUUUUCAAGUGGAAGCAGAUGUGAGAAACAGGAGAAACAGCAAUGACUAGAGGGCCAGAAUAAAGACAUUUAAAUUUCCCAGCGGAUGGAUCAGACUGAAAUAGUGAGAAGCAGCUGCGGGAAUUCGUUUUCAUUUCUGUCUGUUCUUUGCCAGUACCACUGAUGUGUGUGUGCCCCACUGCUGGAGACCACCAGAGCUUUGUUUUCUAGUUUAUGCACUUUAGCACCUGCUGCAGGUAUCUCCUCCUGGUCAUAACCUUGUGUGGUCUCUACUGUUUGGGCAGAACUGCGCUGUCUAUGGUUCCUAAGCCCCUGUGCAACAUGUGAAAUUAUAAGGAUUUAUUUAACUGCUUUAGUGAAUUGCAACACAUGGAGGAUUCUUUAUAUAGAAACAUUAUACUGACAAGUUUCCUUGUUUGACCCAUCUAUGUAUUUUUCAAGGCUGAUAUAUGAACAUGUAAUCCCAUUGCUAGUUGCUAUAGUACGAACUGACUAGACUACUUUUUGUGAAAUAUGUAUUCACCAUAGGCUUUAUGCAGUUUAAUAGAUUUUUUCCUGCAUUUAUGCCAAAAUAAAUGUGAAUCUACCCUGAAAA